CUGCAGAUCACACCUAUGAAUGUCAAGGCGACCGCGGCGCAACGCAACAUAGCACCAGAACCUCCCGAUAGCUCAAUUGUGUUCGACUUGAAUUUAUACGUCUCCGAUGCAAGACUCAUCUGACUUACGGUGCACAUUUGACUUUUUUUCUCUGCUCAUCUCCGUGUUUCAGUCGUGGAUUAUUAACUUACCAGACACUAUUUUAAGGUGGUCAAUUGAUGUAUUUGUUUUGAUAUGGUUUUAGUUUUAAACGUGGUAGAGCUGUAAUUUGGAAUCCUGGGUAUCUUUUUAGAAUUCUCGCCUCAUAUCUGUAAAUUAUGUUGAGAUAUGUCAGAUGGACUCUAUUUUAACAAUGUCCUCUGUAAAUGUUCAUCUCGCACAUUGUCUGUUGUGUACCUGUCAAGUUUCCGUAGCUCCUUCCGGUUUGCCCUCGCCCAGUGGGCUGGCUUUGGGACGUCACGAAGGGAGCAGAGGUGCAGAAAGAACAAUCUGAAGACCCUGUAGUCUGUGCCUUCAUUGGCUAAUUGAUCUAAUUAUUACAACGAACACUGGCAGGAGCAGCCUAUAGCCAGGAAAGCAGCAAGAUUUGUCAGUGCAACAUCAAGCCUCCCAGGCGUCCCCACGGUUGGGUCAACGCGGGAGGCGCCAUCAAGCCCGCACCCGUGAAUGACAAGGCGACUGUAGCUCCAGCGCAGCAUAACACUGGCCGUCCGCACAAGAGCAGAGAUGCAGAAAGAACAAUCUGAAGACACUGUAGUCUGUGCCUUCUGUAGGCAAACAAAUGCUGGAAAACCACCCACUAGAUCACGUCUUCCUUUACGCCCUCAUCCCAUCGUCGCACUGGUGCCGUGACCCUUUGGAUCCUCAGAUCAGCUCCAUGCUGUCGUUGUGGCUGCUGUUGUGGAUCCAAACUGGAUACAAGAAAAUCUUUCCCUUGAUCCCGUCUCAGUUUCUCACUCUGACAUCAUAUGGGGUCCAUCAUGACUUGGCGCACACGCACAGGUUGUUAUUUAUUGAUUUCCUCCCUGACCUUAGUGAAUGAAUGAGGCAAAACGCUGCUUAGGUAGGAGCACCCCUGCUGAGUGUAGGCCGUCCUUAAUGCAAAUCAGGACUCAUUCAGUAUGUUUACAUGCACAGCUUAAUCAAGCUAUGCUCAAAAUUUAUCAUCAGCUGUAACAACUCUAAUAGCCUACUUACGUUAACUGUGUAAUUAGCAUUUACUAACUUCCGAUACAGUACUGUACAGGACAUGCAAAAAACGUCAAUAUUAACACUUUUAAAGUGUCUAUAUGGGUUCACACUAUUAACACUCCUGUGUUGUUAUUGACUCUUUUUAUAGUUAAAAUUAAACACUUCUCAACACUAACCCGUGUUAGUUUCUCUCAACAGUACUGUAUGUGUUAGAGAUAAACUUCCUCAUAUUGUCAAUUGUUAACUACUACAGGUGUUUGCCUCAUUCGUUCACUAACUUCAUAAAUAAUAAGUUGUACAUGUGUGCCAGGUCAUGACGCACACACAUAAAACAGAGCUGUUCUUGGUUCUGGAGCAGCAGUAGAGAUCCAUUAGAGACAAUGGAUGUUAAAAUGUUCUACUGGACCCCAGAUGUUGUCGGAGUUCUUUUGCAUAUAGAGCGCAAAACUGAGAUGUGAUCAAGAGAAGCAUUGGGUUGUCCCCAGUUUGGGGCCUGGAUCUCCUGUUUUUUCCUCUUCAUUCAGGGUCUUCCCAACCGUUGCUCUUGUUCCUGAUGAACCGUUCUUAGUCUGACCCUUCACCUAGGUCCAACCUGCCUUUGGAGACGGCAUAGCCCCCAGGGUCAUUAGGGCACUCAAAUUCCUCCACCACGGUUCAAGGAGGAGAAAAUACUAAAAGGGCCACUAAUGGCCUUCCACUGGAUUGGCUGGGCGCUACACAGUAAGCAUGAGCUUGGUGUCUUCAGGAGACUGAGACCUCCACCUGCAGCCACAGUGAGCUGAUCAUCUGGCUGUUGGCUUGAACAGACCAGAGUCAGCGGAGGAGGUUGGACCUUCCAGCCCAACCUCUAAACUGUUGGUGACUAUGAGUAACAGGUCCUAUAUGAAAACUCCUGCUGGUAAUUUCAUGAUGUCAUGAUGACAUCAUCAGCAAUGUCAUCAUGACAUCAUCAGGAACAAAAACAGCCAAGCUCAUUUGUUUUUUUUUUCCCCUGAUGAUGUCAUCAUAGUUUCGCUAUGACAUCACUGGGAACUGAUUAUGACAGCGAUGACAUGAUGUCGCAAUGUAUUGAUAAGCUGCUGCACCUGUGUAGCUUAGCAAGACAAACACACAGUGAUUGACCAUUAGUGUUUGUUUGUGGCAGAAAGAACAAUUUGAGGACAAUGUAUGUGCCCAUGUCUUCAGCGGGCAGAUAAAUGCUGGAAAACCACACCUGGGAUCAUGUCUUCCUCUGCACCCUCAUCACAUCCAUUACACCACGUGCUAAAUGACUUUUCUUCUCAUCUCAGAUGCCGCAGUCUUUAGUUUUACUGUUGGCUGUUAACAUGAGCUGUCACGCUCUUUAAUUUCAUCAUGUCAUGUUUUAACCUCACGCCUCCUCACAUGGUGCUGGACCCUACCUACGCUGACUGCAGCGCUCAGCCUCCAAAGGCAAACUCCCUGCUCCAAGGCACUGGUUGAGGACCUGAAGGAAGGAGGAACAUGCAGUGGAGAGACUGAGCUUGGGAAAACUAGGAAAGUUUAUCCACAGGCUGGAUGCCUAUCAAUGCAACAUCAAGUCUAGAGCUGGAUGGAUACGAGGGGAGUGGAAGAGGUUUCCAAGAAGAGCCCCAGGAUCCCACUGAUGAUAAAGGAGCAACUACUCCCACUCUGGACAUUAGUGCGUACUUCAGGAGCAGGGACCUGAAGGCACCAGGAGCCCCAGAAAAGACUUGCUUACUCCUGGCAUCAUAGUGGCCAGAGGAGCAGCCACAGGUAGAAGGUAAGUAAGUUCUUAAUUCUCUCAUCUUCACUGGAGACUCCAGGACCUGAAUGCAACACAAACCACAACGACAAGAGUUCCAGGAUCCCAGAGGAGAAGCUAUUGUGACAGACAAUACAAGCAAGGAAUGCAGAGGGUGACCUAGCACAGAGAACACCAAGGAGGUACAUGGAGAGGAGGAGCAUCUGGAGGACACCACAAACCACAAAGCCACCUUCAACCCACCCCCGUGAGGAAAACGCACCAAUGGCCUGGAGCAGCUGGGACCCAUUUUAGAAAACCUAUUUUAAUGCUACAGCAUUUAUUAUUUUCAUUAUUGUUAUUAUUUAGAAGGCAAAUCCUGAAAUUAGAAUGUGCUUUGCUGAGGGAGCAGAGGUACAGAAACCAGCUGAAGACCAUCUCUGCGUCUCUGUCUUCUUCAGGCAAACAAAGGCUGGUAAACCACUCUCUGGAUCGUGUCUUCCUCUACGCCCUCAUCCCAUCCGUGACACCGGUGCUGUGAUCCUUUGGAUCUUCAGAUCAGGUCCAUGUUGUCGUUGGCUACCCUUCCACAUCGCCACAUACUCAGGUUUAUAGAAGACUGUUGACGAGGGUGCAGUGUCUCUGUUUACGUUGCUAUCACAAAAGGACUAGAACACUGGUGCCUUUGGAGUCAGUGAGUGAGGACAAUGUAUGUGUCCAUGUCUUCUGUGGCCAAAUAAAUGCUGGAAAACUUCACCUUGGAUUGUGUCUUUCUCUACGCCCUCAUCACAUCUAUUACAACAUGUGCUAAAUGACCUUUCUGCUGAACGUAGAUGUCACAGUGUUUAGUUUUCUGUUGGUUAUUAGUGUGAGCCAUCACACUGUUUAAAUUCCAUCGUGUUUCAACCUCACGUGUCCUCAUGGGCUAUGGGACCCUUUCUACGCUGACUGCAACGCUCACCCUCCAAAGACAAGCUCCCUGCUCCAGGGUACUGGUUGAGGACCUGAAGAUCAAGUGUGCACACUGUGUCUUAACCAAGGCAUGACCUCAGCAUAUUGUCUAGGAUUCCAGACACAUGAAGCAGCCUACAUAUUGUCAUAGUUUAUCCCCUUUUUUAAAGAUGCCAUUUCAGUUCUCAGAUCACAGUUUUUUUUUUUUGUUUUUUUUUUUUAACCUACUGGUAAGUUGAACUCAGCAUUUCCAGUAAAU